GAGGCCGAUAGGCGUAGGCGAUGGACAACAGGUAGAGAUUCCUGUACCAGUGCUAAUUGUUUAACCGAUGGGGUGACACAGAAGGAUAGGGAAUCGCACGAAUGGAAAUGUGCGUCCAAGCAGUGAGUGUGAGAAGUAGGCAAAUCCGCUUCUCGCGAAGCAUGAGCUGUGAUGGGGAAGGAAAUUAAGUACGGAAGUUCCUGAUUUCACGCUGUCAAGAAAAGCCUCUAGGAAGAGUAGUACUGCCCGUACCGCAAACCGACACAGGUAGAUGAGGAGAGAAUCCUAAGGUGAGCGAGAGAACUCUCGUUAAGGAACUCGGCAAAAUGACCCCGUAACUUCGGGAGAAGGGGUGCUCUAUUAGGGUGCAAGCCCGAGAGAGCCGCAGUGAAUAGGCCCAGGCGACUGUUUAGCAAAAACACAGGUCUCUGCAAAACCGUAAGGUGACGUAUAGGGGCUGACGCCUGCCCGGUGCUGGAAGGUUAAGAGGAGUGCUUAGCUUCGGCGAAGGUACGAAUUGAAGCCCCAGUAAACGGCGGCCGUAACUAUACCGGUCCUAAGGUAGCGAAAUUCCUUGUCGGGUAAGUUCCGACCCGCACGAAAGGCGCAACGAUCUGGGCACUGUCUCAACGAGAGACUCGGUGAAAUUAUAGUACCUGUGAAGAUGCAGGUUACCCGCGACAGGACGGAAAGACCCCGUGGAGCUUUACUGCAACCUGAUAUGGAAUGUUUGUACCGCUUGUACAGGAUAGGUAGGAGCCGAAGAGACG
rnacentral:rRNA from 1 species